AGGGCCGAAGAUCAAGAGAAACUUACCGUGGCAUCACCGCUCCAGUCUCCUCCAGGGUGUGUGUCAUCCCUCUUAUGAGGAAACAGUAGAGAAGCUGCAUCAGGAUCUGUCCAAUGGGUUUUUAGACUUUCAUGCAGACUGCAGAUGUUGGAUAACACUGAGACAAAAGUAGUUUUCCACAGCUCAAAUUUGUCAGACAAAUGGCUAAUUUUAGGAACUGAUGGGGAAGGAUUGUUUCAAAAAAAAAAAACUGUAUGUUUAUUGUUAUUACUAACUUCUCCUUCAUAUUUUUUCCAUGUCAGUUUACAAUAAAAGGUCAAAAUAAUAAUUACAACUUCAAAA